rnacentral:rRNA from 1 species
AGAGUUUGAUCCUGGCUCAGAUUGAACGCUGGCGGCAUGCCUUACACAUGCAAGUCGAACGGCAGCACGGAGCUUGCUCUGGUGGCGAGUGGCGAACGGGUGAGUAAUAUAUCGGAACGUACCCUAGAGUGGGGGAUAACGUAGCGAAAGUUACGCUAAUACCGCAUACGAUCUAAGGAUGAAAGUGGGGGAUCGCAAGACCUCAUGCUCGUGGAGCGGCCGAUAUCUGAUUAGCUAGUUGGUAGGGUAAAAGCCUACCAAGGCAUCGAUCAGUAGCUGGUCUGAGAGGACGACCAGCCACACUGGAACUGAGACACGGUCCAGACUCCUACGGGAGGCAGCAGUGGGGAAUUUUGGACAAUGGGCGAAAGCCUGAUCCAGCAAUGCCGCGUGAGUGAAGAAGGCCUUCGGGUUGUAAAGCUCUUUUGUCAGGGAAGAAACGGUGAAAGCUAAUAUCUUUUGCUAAUGACGGUACCUGAAGAAUAAGCACCGGCUAACUACGUGCCAGCAGCCGCGGUAAUACGUAGGGUGCAAGCGUUAAUCGGAAUUACUGGGCGUAAAGCGUGCGCAGGCGGUUUUGUAAGUCUGAUGUGAAAUCCCCGGGCUCAACCCGGGAAUUGCAUUGGAGACUGCUAGGCUAGAAUCUGGCAGAGGGGGGUAGAAUUCCACGUGUAGCAGUGAAAUGCGUAGAUAUGUGGAGGAACACCGAUGGCGAAAGCAGCCCCCUGGGGUCAAGAUUGACGCUCAUGCACUAAAGCGUGGGGAGCAAACAGGAUUAGAUACCCUGGUACUC